rnacentral:rRNA from 1 species
CAGUCGCCGCGGGAAUACGAAGGGGGCUAGCGUUGUUCGGAUUUACUGGGCGUAAAGCGCACGUAGGCGGAUCGAUCAGUCAGGGGUGAAAUCCUGGAGCUCAACUCCAGAACUGCCUUUGAUACUGUCGAUUUCGAGUCCGGAAGAGGUGAGUGGAACUCCUAGUGUAGAGGUGGAAUUCGUAGAUAUUAGGAAGAACACCAGUGGCGAAGGCGGCUCACUGGUCCGGUACUGACGCUGAGGUACGAAAGCGUGGGGAGCAAACAGGAUUAGAGACCCGAGUAGUCCCUGUCUCUUAUAC